rnacentral:rRNA from 1 species
UGGGGAAUAUUGCGCAAUGGGCGAAAGCCUGACGCAGCAACGCCGCGUGAGUGAUGAAGGCCUUCGGGUUGUAAACCACUGUCGGGGGGAGCAAAUUUGAGCGAUCCCCGGAGGAAGCACAGGCUAAAUUCGUGCCAGCAGCCGCGGUAAUACGAAUUGUGCGAACGUUAUUCGGAAUCACUGGGCUUAAAGGGUGCGUAGGCGGCCAUGAAGGUCUGAUGUGAAAUCCCACGGCUCAACCGUGGAAUUGCGUUGGAAACCACAUGGCUUGAGUAGGACAGAGGUGAGCGGAACUGAUGGUGGAGCGGUGAAAUGCGUUGAUAUCAUCAGGAACACCGGUGGCGAAAGCGGCUCACUGGGUCCUAACUGACGCUGAGGCACGAAAGCCAGGGGAGCAAACGGGAUUAGAUACCCAAGUAGUCCCUGAGCGGGCUGGCAAGGCGCAU